GGCUCAGAUUGAACGCUGGCGGAAUGCUUUACACAUGCAAGUCGAACGGCAGCACGGACUUCGGUCUGGUGGCGAGUGGCGAACGGGUCGAGUAAUAUAUCGGAACGUGCCCAGUCGUGGGGAUAACGUAGUGAAAAUUACGCUAAUACCGCAUACGAUCUAAGGAUGAAAGCGGGGGAUCGCAAGACCUCGCGCGAUUGGAGCGGCCGAUAUCAGAUUAGGUAGUUGGUGAGGUAAAGGCUCACCAAGCCAACGAUCUGUAAGCUGGGUCCUUGAGAGGACGACCAGCCACACUGGAACUGAGACACGGUCCAGACUCCUACGGGAGGCAGCAGUGGGAAUUUUGGACAAUGGACGCAAGUCUGAUCCAGCCAUUCCGCGUGCAGGACGAAGGCCUUCGGGUUGUAAACUGCUUUUGUACAGAACGAAAAGGUCUCUAUUAAUACUAGGGGCUCAUGACGGUACUGUAAGAAUAAGCACCGGCUAACUACGUG
rnacentral:rRNA from 1 species